rnacentral:piRNA from 1 species
UGCACCUGCUGAUUGGUAGUCUUUGGUGU